CUUAGUGAAAAUGCCCAACAAUGGGGAGAGGGAACUCGAAGAGUCUACCUGCACUAGAUAGACCCAAGUGGAGGGAUGGGGUUACCAACCCAUAGUCAAAAUUAUUGAUCCAGAAUUGUUCAUGUCUAAAAGGACUGCAGGGACAAAAAUGGAGAAGAGAUUGAGGACAGAAGCCUAUCACAACUGUCUUCUGAGAGACCCUCAGCAGCUGACUGAGAUAGAUCAGAUACUUACACCAAACCAUUGGACUGAAGUUGGGGACUCCUAUAGUUGGACUAGGGGAAGAAUUGAAGAAGCUGAAGAGGGCGGCCCCAUAGGAAGAUCAGCAGUCUCAACUAACCUGGAUCCCUGGGAGAUGCCAAAGAUGGAGCUAUCAACCAGUCAGCAAACAUGGGCCGAUCUGAGGGCCCAGCACUUAUAUAGCAGACGAUUGCCUGGUCCGGCAUCAGUGGGAGAAGAUGAACCUAAUCAUUGAGAGACAUGAGGCCCCAGGGAAGGGGAUACUCAGGAGUGAGGGGGAGAAGGUGAGCACCUUCUUGAAGGCAAGAUGGGAUGGGAUGAGGAACUGGGGAGGUGUGAAAGGGGAGUAAUAGCUGGACUAUAAAUAAAUAAUAUAAUUUAAAAAAUGAAAA